CACGUAGGGGGCGAGCGUUGUCCGGAUUUAUUGGGCGUAAAGAGCUCGUAGGCGGCUCAGUAAGUCGGGUGUGAAAACUCCAGGCUCAACCUGGAGACGCCACCUGAUACUGCUGUGGCUAGAGUCCGGUAGGGGAGCAUGGAAUUCCUGGUGUAGCGGUGAAAUGCGCAGAUAUCAGGAGGAACACCAGUGGCGAAGGCGGCCAUCUGGACGGAUACUGACGCUGAGACGCGAAAGCGUGGGUAGCAAACAGG
rnacentral:rRNA from 1 species